CCUUAGAGAAAUCAAGUAAACAUGAUAAUACAUCAUAUUAAAACAAAUCAGUAAUUUCCCAAUCAUUCAUCAAAUCUUAGACUGUUAUCACUGAUAUAGUGCGUGUGUGCUCCACAACAAUGUUAACUGAUAUAAAAUCAAAUUUAACACAUAAUAGGUCUUUUUAAAGGCAUUUUACAGUGAAAACUCACAAAAUUCACGAACAAGCUAGAUCCAACUAAAGUCAAACAUCCACCAAGUUCAAGAGUCCAAUCCGGGAUACUUAUGCUUUACUUUUCAUUACGGGGGCUUUUUGCUCUUUUCCCGUUUUAUUGUUUU
rnacentral:lncRNA from 1 species